GACGGAGGAUGCAAGCGUUAUCCGGAAUUAUUGGGCGUAAAGCGUCCGCAGGUGGCUGUUCAAGUCUGCUGUCAAAGCGCAGAGCUUAACUCUGUACAGGCGGUGGAAACUGAAGAGCUAGAGUAUGGUAGGGGUAGAGGGAAUUCCCGGUGUAGCGGUGAAAUGCGUAGAUAUCGGGAAGAACACCAGUGGCGAAGGCGGCGACCUGGACAGGAACUGACACUCAACUGCGAAAGCGUGGGGAGCAAACAGG
rnacentral:rRNA from 1 species